rnacentral:rRNA from 1 species
GGGUUGUGAGGUUAAGCGACUAAGCGUACACGGUGGAUGCCAUGGCAGUCAGAGGCGAUGAAGGACGUGCUAAUCUGCGAUAAGCGUCGGUAAGGUGAUAUGAACCGUUAUAACCGGCGAUUUCCGAAUGGGGAAACCCAGUGUGUUUCGACACACUAUCAUUAACUGAAUCCAUAGGUUAAUGAGGCGAACCGGGGGAACUGAAACAUCUAAGUACCCCGAGGAAAAGAAAUCAACCGAGAUUCCCCCAGUAGCGGCGAGCGAACGGGGAGGAGCCCAGAGCCUGAAUCAGUGUGUGUGUUAGUGGAAGCGUCUGGAAAGGCGCGCGAUACAGGGUGACAGCCCCGUACACAAAAAUACACAUAUUGUGAGCUCGAUGAGUAGGGCGGGACACGUGGUAUCCUGUCUGAAUAUGGGGGGACCAUCCUCCAAGGCUAAAUACUCCUGACUGACCGAUAGUGAACCAGUACCGUGAGGGAAAGGCGAAAAGAACCCCGGCGAGGGGAGUGAAAAAGAACCUGAAACCGUGUACGUACAAGCAGUGGGAGCACGCUUAGGCGUGUGACUGCGUACCUUUUGUAUAAUGGGUCAGCGACUUAUAUUCUGUAGCAAGGUUAACCGAAUAGGGGAGCCGAAGGGAAACCGAGUCUUAACUGGGCGUUAAGUUGCAGGGUAUAGACCCGAAACCCGGUGAUCUAGCCAUGGGCAGGUUGAAGGUUGGGUAACACUAACUGGAGGACCGAACCGACUAAUGUUGAAAAAUUAGCGGAUGACUUGUGGCUGGGGGUGAAAGGCCAAUCAAACCGGGAGAUAGCUGGUUCUCCCCGAAAGCUAUUUAGGUAGCGCCUCGUGAAUUCAUCUCCGGGGGUAGAGCACUGUUUCGGCA